UACGAAGGGUGCAAGCGUUACUCGGAAUUACUGGGCGUAAAGCGUGCGUAGGUGGUGAGUUAAGUCUGUCGUGAAAGCCCCGGGCUCAACCUGGGAACUGCAUUUGGGACUGCAAAGCUCGAGUACGGCAGAGGGGGGUAGAAUUCCUGGUGUAGCAGUGAAAUGCGUAGAUAUCAGGAGGAAUACCGAUGGCGAAGGCAGCCCCCUGGGUCGAUACUGACGCUCAUGCACGAAAGCGUGGGGAGCAAACAGG
rnacentral:rRNA from 1 species